rnacentral:rRNA from 1 species
UACGUAGGGUGCGAGCGUUAAUCGGAAUUACUGGGCGUAAAGCGUGCGCAGGCGGUUCGUUGUGUCGGUGGUGAAAGCCCCGGGCUUAACCUGGGAAUGGCCAUGGAAACUGGCGAACUGGAGUGUGGCAGAGGGGGGUGGGAAUUCCGCGUGUAGCAGUGAAAUGCGUAGAGAUGCGGAGGAACACCGAUGGCGAAGGCAGCCCCCUGGGUUAACACUGACGCUCAGGCACGAAAGCGUGGGGAGCAAACAGG